GUUUACAUAUACACGUAUUCAGUCAAUAUUUAUAUAUUUGUGUCAAUUCUGAUUGGUGUGCAAACUAUUAUCAGUAGAUAUGAGGAGAGUAUAUAUAUUUUGCUAUAUCGUAAAUUUGCUAGAUUCGCACAUUAGUUGCGGCGGAAUUUUUUAUAAAAUUACGAAUUGAUAUUGACAUUCUUUGAACAAUGGGAGGUGUAAAACCUGGUAAUGGCGGUUCUACCAACGGUGGAGGUGGAGGAGGAGGUGGCGGCGGUGGUGGUGGAGGAGGUGGUGGCGGAGGAGGUGGAGGCGGUGGCGGUGGAGGUGGUGGAGGCGGAGGAGGCGGCGGAAAAUAUUAAAUUCUUAAUUAAUGAAAUGAAAUGCUAAGAGUAAUGCCUAACCAGUAUAUUUUUGUAAAAUGUACCUAUCAACAAAUUGAAACAGAGUAUAAAAACAAUCAAUAAACUUAUUUUGCAAUUGA